rnacentral:rRNA from 1 species
UUCCUAAGUGUGAAGAGGUCGAAACCCCCGCCAAAGGCACACUGCGUUCCUCAGUCCCCCAAGAUGUAUCCAGCAGAGAGCUAUAACACAGCCGAAACUGCUACCUUCUCUCUACCAUUAUCCAUCCCGGAAAACUGAUGCUGGCCUGCAAACCGAUUGCUCGGCAAGCAAGUCUGACUUCAAGCGUUUCCCUUCCAACAAUUUCACGUACUGUUAACUCUCUUUCCAAAGUGCUUUUCAUCUUUCCCUCACGGUACUUGUUCGCUAUCGGUCUCUCGCCAAUAUUUAGCUUUAGAUGGAAUUUACCACCCAAUUUGAGCUGCAUUCCCAAACAACUCGACUCUUCGAAAAUGUAUCACAAAGCGCUGGGCGUCCGCACCAUAUACGGGGGUCUCACCACUAUGCCGCUGUAUUCCAACAGACUUGUGUGCGGUCCAACGCGGAAAACAUUUCUAGAGAUUACAACUCGGACACCGAAGGGGCCAGAUUAUAAAUUUGAGCUCUUCCCCGCUUCGCUCGCCGCUACUAGGGGAAUCCUUGGUAGUUUCUUUUCCUCCGCUUAUUGAUAUGCAACAGCC